rnacentral:rRNA from 1 species
UACGGGGUGCAGCAGGCGCGAAACCUUCACACUGUGCGAGAGCACGAUGAGGGGAUCCCAAGUGCUGGUUCGUAAGAGUCAGCUGUUUCUUUGUCUAAAAAACAGAGAGAGUAAGGGCUGGGUAAGACGGGUGCCAGCCGCCGCGGUAAUACCUGCAGCUCAAGUGGUAGCCGCUAUUAUUGGGCCUAAAACGUUCGUAGCCGGUUUAGUAAAUGCUUGGGUAAAUUGUGUCGCUUAACGAUACGAAUUCCGGGUAGACUNNNAAACUUGGGACCGGGAGAGGUUAGAGGUACUCCUGGGGUAGAGGUGAAAUUCUGUAAUCCUGGGGGGACCACCAGUGGCGAAGGCGUCUAACCAGAACGGGUCUGACGGUGAGGGACGAAACCCUGGGGCGCAAACCGGAUUAGAUACCCGGGUAGUCCAGGGUGUAAACGCUGCUCGCUUGAUGUUAGUUGGGCUCCGAGCCCACCUAGUGUCGGAGAGAAGUUGUUAAGCGAGCUG